CCUAGGGUCGCUGCAGCAAGGAAUAUUGGGCAAUGGGCGAAGGCCUGACCCAGCGACACCGCGUGGAGGAAGAAGGCCCUCGGGUUGUAAACUCCUUUUAUCAGGGAAGAAUAAUGACGGUACCUGGUGAAUAAGUCUCGGCUAACUACGUGCCAGCAGCCGCGGUAAUACGUAGGAGGCGAGCGUUAUCCGGAUUUACUGGGCGUAAAGAGGGCGUAGGCGGCUUUUCAAGUCGGAUGUGAAAUCUCCCGGCUUAACUGGGAGGGUGCAUUCGUUACUGGGAGGCUGGAGUGCAUCAGAGGAAAGCGGAAUUCCCGGUGUAGUGGUGAAAUGCGUAGAUAUCGGGAAGAACACUAGUGGCGAAGGCGGCUUUCUGGGGUGUAACUGACGCUGAGGCCCGAAGGCGUGGGGAGCAAACAGGAUUAGAUACCCGGGUAGUC
rnacentral:rRNA from 1 species